rnacentral:rRNA from 1 species
AGAGUUUGAUCCUGGCUCAGAACGAACGCUGGCGGCGUGCUUAACACAUGCAAGUCGAACGAGAAAGGUUUCUUCGGAGACCGAGUAAAGUGGCGCACGGGUGAGUAACGCGUAGAUAACCUGUCCUUAUGUCUGGGAUAACCCACCGAAAGGUGGACUAAUACCGGAUUCGCUGGUCAUGCACAAGCGUGACCAGGAAAGAUGGCCUCUGAUUUAAGCUAUCGCAUUUGGAGGGGUCUGCGUACCAUUAGCUUGUUGGUGGGGUAAUGGCCUACCAAGGCUACGAUGGUUAGCGGGUCUGAGAGGAUGAUCCGUCACACUGGCACUGAAACACGGGCCAGACUCCUACGGGAGGCAGCAGUGAGGAAUAUUGCGCAAUGGGGGAAACCCUGACGCAGCGACGCCGCGUGAGUGAGGAAGGCCUUCGGGUCGUAAAGCUCUGUCAGAAGGGAAGAAGUGCUAUACGGUUAAUACCCGUGUAGUUUGACGGUACCUUCAAAGGAAGCACCGGCUAACUCCGUGCCAGCAGCCGCGGUAAUACGGAGGGUGCAAGCGUUGUUCGGAAUCACUGGGCGUAAAGGGCGCGCAGGCGGUUUGGUAAGUCAGAUGUGAAAGCCCAUGGCUCAACCAUGGAAGUGCAUUUGAAACUGCUAGACUUGAGUACUAGAGGGGAAAGUGGAAUUCCCGGUGUAGAGGUGAAAUUCGUAGAUAUCGGGAGGGAUACCGGUGGCGAAGCGACUUUCUGGCUAGAUACUGACGCUGAGGCGGCGAAAGCGUGGGGGGAGCAAACAGGAUUAGAUACCCUGGUAGUCACGCGUAAACGAUGUCAACUAGGUGUAGGGGGUGUUGAUCCCCUCUGUGCCGCAGCUAACGCAUUAAGUUGACCGCCUGGGGAGUACGGUCGCAAGAUUAAAACUCAAAGGAAUUGACGGGGGCCCGCACAAGCGGUGGAGUAUGUGGUUUAAUUCGAUGCAACGCGAAGAACCUUACCUGGUCUUGACAUCCCGAGAAUCUCCUGGAAACAGGAGAGUGCUUUCAUUAGAGAGAACUUGGUGACAGGUGCUGCAUGGCUGUCGUCAGCUCGUGUCGUGAGAUGUUGGGUUAAGUCCCGCAACGAGCGCAACCCUUGCCUUUAGUUGCCAGCAGUUCGGCUGGGCACUCUAAAGGGACUGCCGGUGUCAAACCGGAGGAAGGUGGGGAUGACGUCAAGUCCUCAUGGCCUUUAUGACCAGGGCUACACACGUACUACAAUGGCCGAUACAAAGGGCAGCUACAUCGCAAGAUGAUGCGAAUCUCUUAAAGUCGGUCUCAGUCCGGAUUGGGGUCUGCAACUCGACCCCAUGAAGUUGGAAUCGCUAGUAAUCGUGGAUCAGCAUGCCACGGUGAAUACGUUCCCGGGCCUUGUACACACCGCCCGUCACACCACGGGAGUCGGUUGUUCCAGAAGCAGUUGUGCUAACCUUCGGGGAGUAGGCUGCCAAGGAAUGGCUGGUAACUGGGGUGAAGUCGUAACAAGGUAACCGUA